rnacentral:rRNA from 1 species
GACGAACGCUGGCGGCGUGCUUAACACAUGCAAGUCGAGCGGUAAGGCCCUUUCGGGGGUACACGAGCGGCGAACGGGUGAGUAACACGUGGGUGACCUGCCCUUAGCUCUGGGAUAAGCCUGGGAAACUGGGUCUAAUACCGGAUAUGACUCCAUGACGCAUGUUGUGGGGUGGAAAGCCUUGUGCGGCUAGGGAUGGGCCCGCGGCCUAUCAGCUUGUUGGUGGGGUNAUGGCCACCAAGGCGACGACGGUAGCCGGCCUGAGAGGGCGACCGGCCACACUGGGACUGAGACACGGCCCAGACUCCUACGGGAGGCAGCAGUGGGAAUCUUGCGCAAUGGGCGAAAGCCUGACGCAGCGACGCCGCGUGGGGAUGAC